rnacentral:rRNA from 1 species
UGUAGGUAAGGGAAGUCGGCAAGGCUGAUCCGUAACUUCGGGACAAGGAUUGGCUCUGAAGAAUGAGUCGGUCGGGCUGUGGUCUGAAGCGAGUUGUGCGCUGCACCGGGACUGAGUUGGGUGGACGUGGUUUCGGCCGCUACGCCUAGUUCGGACCAGCGUCAGUGUGUUCUCGUCGAAUGCCUCAGCUACGCCUCCAUGGAGUGAUUGCUCUUAACGGGGUGGUUAUCUCCAAGGUAGGAUCGUUUCGGCCGACAAAAAACAUUGAAUCAG